CUGGGGCAUAAGUGCUGUCCUAGUUGUCUGGUACCAGGCUCCAGGGCAUGAGGGCUGAGGCAUAGUGGCCCUGCAGUGGGAGGUGUGUGAGAAUCCCAUAAGAAAGGUGGUUUGGGUGUGGACUUCACCACCUGCUCAAGAAGGGAACUUGACUAAUCUUUAGCCAGUACUUCAAAACAGGCUAGUAAGUCAAGACAGGACAGUUAAAAAUAAAAAUAAAUAUUACAUUCAGAUUUCUUUUCUAUGCCCCCAGGAACUGUGGGCAGUCCCAGUAGGUCCCUGAAGGUCACAGGCCCAGAGUGCACACACACCCACUACACACU
rnacentral:lncRNA from 1 species